rnacentral:rRNA from 1 species
AUUGAGCGCUGGCGGCAGGCCCAACACAUGCAAGUCGAACGGUAGCACAGAGAGCUUGCUCUCGGGUGACGAGUGGCGGACGGGUGGGUAAUGUCUGGGAAACUGCCCGAUGGAGGGGGAUAACCACUGGAAACGGUAGCUAAUACCGCAUAACGUCGCAAGACCAAAGUGGGGGACCUUCGGGCCUCACACCAUCGGAUGUGCCCAGAUGGGAUUAGCUAGUAGGUGGGGUAAUGGCUCACCUAGGCGACGAUCCCUAGCUGGUCUGAGAGGAUGACCAGCCACACUGGAACUGAGACACGGUCCAGACUCCUACGGGAGGCAGCAGUGGGGAAUAUUGCACAAUGGGCGCAAGCCUGAUGCGGCCAUGCCGCGUGUAUGAAGAAGGCCUUCGGGUUGUAAAGUACUUUCAGCGGGGAGGAAGGCGGUGAAGUUAAUAGCUUCACCGAUUGACGUUACCCGCAGAAGAAGCACCGGCUAACUCCGUGCCAGCCGCCGCUGUAA